rnacentral:misc_RNA from 1 species
UUAUUAAAAAGGUAGAAAGAACAGAGAAGAAAAUGUAUGAUCACAUCCCACAAUCGAUUAUGCGAGUCUGAUCUUACUUAGCUAUAGAAAUUAGGGAUCUUCCACAUGUUUGUAUUUACCAAAUCCCUUUUACUUUACACAAUUUAGAAAUCCACUAUAGUUUUAUUCCAGAUUCAUUCAAGUGACAGAGACAACUAAGAAACAGAUUAUUUAAUAUUGCAUUAUAAGACUAUUGAGAAUAAAUCUUAAAGGAA